rnacentral:tRNA from 1 species
ACUUAAAUAGCUUAAUAAGAGUGUAGCAUUGAAGCUGCUAGGGUAAAGAUGUCUUUUUAAGUG